AGUUAGAACAUAAUUAUUCUGCAGGGUCUCACAUCAUUACUUUGACUAGAAUUGACUAGGACCCUAACUGAAGGUCACUAGUUUUUUCAUACCAGUCUCAUAUACACAUCUCUGUCCAACAUCUCCCUCCUCUCAUCCCACUGUGUCAGCGAUGGAUAAUCAACAUGAAGAGGCAAAACACAAACACGCCACUAAAAUGUGAAGUAACCAGAUCUGAGGAUUGCUUUGUAUUAAUCAACCUAUGAAUAGAUAUCACACAUCAAUAUACCACAUUUUAAAGAUUUUUAAAACAAUUUUGUGCCACUGUACUUCGUAAUUAUUGUCUAACUCAUCACAGAAUUGAAGAACAGAAUAUGUUGCUAGAGAUACGAGCGGAUGGCCCAAUAUGUACAGAGCUAUAUGAUUCACUCAAAACGUUGCCAGCUUUCAUAUUAAUGCUUCAAGCCAAAGAAACCUGAACUGAAGAUAUAUUUACGGCAAGAACUUAAUGGACAUUGAAUUGCAUCCAAGCAAAAAAAAAAAAAAAAAAGAAUUGUAUCCAA